rnacentral:rRNA from 1 species
UACGGGGGGAGCAAGCGUUGUUCGGAUUUACUGGGCGUAAAGGGCGCGUAGGCGGCGCAACAAGUCACUUGUGAAAUCUCCGGGCUUAACUCGGAACGGCCAAGUGAUACUGUCGUGCUAGAGUGCAGAAGGGGCAAUCGGAAUUCUUGGUGUAGCGGUGAAAUGCGUAGAUAUCAAGAGGAACACCUGAGGUGAAGACGGGUUGCUGGGCUGACACUGACGCUGACAGCGCGAAAGCUAGGGGAGCAAACGGG